AUGCAGGCGAUCAGGAGAUCGACUCUGAUUGAAGAGGUCGGGGAGAUUCUGGUGCCGGGAAGUACGUUGGCGGAUGGUACGAAGCGGGCGUUGGUGGAGGUGGUGCUUCCGGAGAGCAUGUGUAUGAGCGGCGUAGGGUGGAUCUGCUGGGCGUCUGGACCACCAGCAAUCAGCAGAGAAGGUCGAAUCUGCAGCGCGGUUCAAGUGGCAGCACUUAGAAGGGACCGUUUCGCCUCUGACUUCUACGAUGUCGAUGGAAAGAUGAAUCGCCCGGCUCUUGGUUGGGAGAAGAGGCAACCAACGAGAUAA
rnacentral:rRNA from 1 species